rnacentral:misc_RNA from 1 species
GUCCAUCAGUGUCAAGUUAAGGCAAAGUACACUAAUCAAUCAGUAGUAGAUAAGGCAAUCGUCAAGGAAAAACACUGCUUUUACUCGACGUUCUUCCGUGAUGACUGGAUGGAAAUGACUACUUGGAAAUAGCUACUUGGAGCUGCGAAUGAAUAAAGAUCAAUCUGAGAAACCAACCCAUUCAGAUGUGGAAGAUUUAGACGAAGUGGACUGGCGUCGCGAAGAAAGCCUGGAAAUGAGAAAGGCUAUUUUGGUUGGUGAAAAUGUCCUCUGAAAUUCUUCAAGCAUGGAUGUGAAUUCAAUGGUCGUUACUCUACUUGGAAUGUGGCUUGCAUUAUGGAGUUCUACCGAUGCGACAAUCGACUUAGAAACGGCUCCCGCGAAGAAUGCUGUUAAUAUGGAAUGGUACAACAGUUCGGUGAGUUAUUGGCCUUUUGAGAGUUUCUCAGACAAGAUCAUACGAGACUGGACUGGAAAUAAUAACGGAAAGAUUAACGGAACGGUUCGCUCGGUAAACGGAAUAGUUGGAUCUGCCAUUGAAUUAACGGGAAAAUAUUCAUGGAUAGAUUUUGGUCUUCUUCCGGAAACCUGUUUGAACCAGCCUGACGCCUGUUCUGAGGGAUUUACUAUAGCAUUCUGGCUUAAACUGCCCACGUUUGAGGGCAAUAAAAUCAUAGUUCAACUUGGACAGAAUCGCCACUCAAGGGGAUUCACCGUUUGGACAAGACGUAAAAAAGAAAAGAAAAUCAAUUUCAGCGUGAACGGCAAGCAUCUAAGCUUUCACUCCAUGCUGAACUGGCCCGCAACCUACUGGACCCACGUAGGAUUAAUCUGGAGAAAAACGGAACAAAAUCUCGGGAUUUAUUUCAAUUGUUCACUAGUUGGAAUUGGCGGGGUCAAGAAUGCCAGUAAAUCGUCAAAAACUGCGAAGUUGAGUAAAGUGACAUUAAUGGUGGGAGCAAGCCAUGGGCACAACAAAAAUGCUCAUAUGUUAAUGGAUGAAUUUGCAAUUUGGAACCGAACUCUAACUGAGGAUGAGUUAUGCAGAGUGGUUGACAUCAAAACCGUUCAUGGUGGAUACGGUAACUGGUCAUCGUUCAGUAAGUGUAACAAAACAUGUGGUAAUGAAACACAAAUCCGAUUCAGGGAGUGUAAUAAUCCUGUACCUCAAAACAGAGCACGAAACUGCUCUGAGUUAGGACCAGCGUACGAAGAAAGACCCUGUAAUAACACUCCAUGUCCGAUACACGGGGGCUACGGUCAAUGGUCUGGCUUUACUCAGUGCACGAAGUCUUGCGGAUCAGGACAGAAGUACCGAGGAAGAUUGUGCAACAACCCGGAACCACAGUACGGCGGACUCAAUUGUUCACGCCUUGGUAUUAGCUACGAGUCCGCUUCUUGUAAUGACCACCCAUGUCCAGUGGAUGGAGGUUAUACGGAGUGGUCAAUGUUUAGUGAAUGUUCCAAGUCUUGUGAAAAUGGCACCCAGUUUCGUCAUAGAAACUGUACGAAUCCAGCUCCUGCUUACGGUGGAAAGAACUGCUCUAGUCUUGGAAAAGAUCGUAUUAUGAUUCCAUGCAAUACUCAUAAAUGUCCCAUCGCCGGGGGGUACACAAAUUGGACCAAUUUUACGGAGUGUACAAAGACAUGCGGAAGCGGCACGAAAUUUCGAACUCGAAACUGCAGCAAUCCUUUUCCGCAGUUCGGCGGGAAGCAUUGCUCGGUUAUAGGACCUGCGAAUGAGACAAUAUUUUGUAAUACUGAUCCUUGCCCGAUAGAUGGUGGAUACACUGCGUGGACGGAAUUUAGUAAUUGUUCUAAGCCUUGUGGAAAUGGAACGAGGUUUCGGUUUAGAAACUGUACAAAUCCUCGUCCUCAGCACGGAGGAAGGAAUUGCUCUCGUUUUGGUGAAGACAUCGAGGUUUUAUUCUGUAAUGUUCAUUAUUGCCCAAUACAUGGAGGUUAUACUAUGUGGUCAAAUUUCACUGAAUGUUCGGUAUCUUGCGGAGGAGGUCUUAAGACUCGAAACAGAACGUGUACUAAUCCUGUUCCGAUGUACAAUGGAAAGAACUGUUCACAUAUUGGUGCGGAUUAUCAGUCUCAGGACUGCAACACUGACCCGUGCCCGGUCCAUGGAGGUUUCACUCCUUGGUCAAACUUCACAGCUUGUUCUAAAACUUGCGGAAAUGGAACAAGAACACGAAACAGAACGUGUAGUAAUCCUGCUCCGAAGCACGGGGGCAGAAAUUGCACGGGGGAAUUCGAAGAGGUAGAAGACUGUAAUACGUUUCCUUGUCCGAUUGACGGAGGAUACACAAAGUGGUCAAAUUAUAGCGAGUGUUCCAAGUCAUGUGGAAUAGGUGAACAAGUUCGCUUUCGAAACUGCACUAAUCCUAUUCCACGGCACGGAGGCAAGACAUGUGAUGAUAUAGGACCACCUAUGCAAGUAAGAGUCUGUAACACCCAUCUUUGUCCAGUUGAUGGGGGUUUUACAGAAUGGACGAAUUUCACCGAGUGUAGUAAAUCGUGUGGAAAUGGCACGAGCAUCCGAACUAGAUCCUGCACGAAUCCGACACCCCAGCACGGAGGGAAAAAUUGUACACGUAUCGGGAGUAGCUUUGAUCUACGUUAUUGCAAUGAGCAUCCUUGUUCAGUCAAUGGAGGGUACACUCCAUGGUCGAAUUUUAGUGAUUGUACGAAAUCUUGUGGCAAUGGAACAAAAAAUAGAUUUAGAAAUUGUACGAAUCCAACCCCAAUGCAUGGGGGGAAAAAUUGUUCUCAUUUGGGACCUGAAUUUGAAAUAUUUCCUUGUAAUACGCAUUACUGUCCUAUUGAUGGAGGAUAUUCAACCUGGACGAACUAUACCAUGUGUAGCAAGCCGUGUGGAAACGGUACUCGAUAUAAAACAAGAACUUGCGAUCGUCCAAAGCCGCAGCACAAUGGCUUGAAUUGUUCUCGUUUAGGGCCAGCAAAACACGUUAUGCCGUGUAAUGUUUUUCCUUGUCCUAUACAUGGGAGCUACAGCGCUUGGAGCGCGUUUACACCGUGCGAUAAAACAUGUAAUAAUGGAACGAAAUUUAGAACUAGAGAAUGUAACCAACCCGUUCCGCAGUUCGGUGGGCGAAAUUGUUCUCUCUUAGGUCCUGAUAUUGAAGUGGUUGAAUGUUUUUUGAUGCACUGUCCUAUAGAUGGGGGGUAUAGUAACUGGUCAGAAUUUGGGCCCUGUUCUAAGUCCUGCAAUAUUGGGAUUAAAAAUAGAACAAGAAUAUGUAACAACCCUGAGCCCAAGUAUGGAGGUAAAACCUGUGAAGUGCUUGGGGAGGCAACGGAGGAGGUUGUCUGUAAUACACACCCAUGUCCUAUUCACGGAGGCUACACGCAAUGGACAGAGUUCUCGUCUUGUUCGAAAACAUGCGAAGGAGGGAUCAGAGUGAGAACGCGCAACUGUUCGAAUCCUACUCCUAUGCACGGAGGAAGAAACUGCAGUGACAUUGGACCGAAUACAGACAUCAUCAUAUGUAAUAAGGAAAGAUGCCCUGAUAUCGUAUUCAACAUUACGAUGAACCUUACAAAUAAAGUGUGGACGCCGGAUCUCGCAGACUUGGACAGCACAAAUUACAUUGACCUGAAACACGAUCUCAAAUCCAGUAUUCGCAGGAUUUACGUUAAUGGAAUAUCGGGAUUCAACGUUCGGUUUAGGUAUGUGAGGAAAGGCAGCGUAAUAGCAGAUGUUGUUAUCAAGUACUAUAACUAUCUUUACCACGGUAUCACAAUGCUGUAUGAUGCCAUCUACCACAAUGGACGUCUUGGAAUAUAUAUAGUUAAGCCCAUCAGCCUUGCAACUAUAGACGUUCCUGUUCGAGGCCCUACCAACGUCCUUGGCUACAACACCAGUUCCACAAGUGUUCUUCUCAGUUGGGAUGCAGUUGACAGUGAAUACGCUAAUGGCAACAUAACUAAUUACCGUAUUACCUAUAAACAGUUGAAAAAGCAAUACAGAAAGCGCCGUGAGAUUAAAACCUCGACGCUUAGAAGCAUCACAGUACCUAAUCAACUUAAUUAUGAAGUAACGGGCCUGGAGAUGUUUACUAACUACGAGUUUCGAGUUGCUGGUAAAAACAAGAGAGGGGUUGGACUGGAUAGUGAGCCCAUCGUGGUGAAUACGGAUCAGGACAGACCGCUACAACCUCCACCAUUUAUUUCUGCUUCCAACGAGAGUUCAACAAGCCUACGUGUGUCCUGGUCUUCCAUUUCUAAGGAACACAUCCCGGGGUUUGUCGAAGGAUACCGCGUGUACUACAAGCCUUUCAAUCAAAACCCUGUAAUCACCAUGUCUAUUACAGUUGCGCCUGACACCAGACAAGUACUUUUAACCAAGCUUGACAAAUACACUAAGUAUCAGAUUGAUGUAUGUGGAUAUACGAUUAAAGGAGAAGGGCCUAAAGCUACUGCAUACGUUAUGACCGAUGAGGAUGCACCAAGCAAACCACCAGAGAAGGUACGAGCGCACAACACAUCCUCAACAAGCAUAUACGUCCAAUGGGAGCCCAUACCCAAGGGAUACAUACACGGGAUUCUACGAGGAUACGUGGUCAUUUAUGAGACUUCUGGGCUUGGAGACUGGUUAAAUAUUACCAUAAAUGGCGAUAUUAGGACCUGCAUAAUCAACAACUUACGAAAAUUUACAAAAUAUACAAUACAAGUUCUGGGAUUCACCUCCAAAGGCGAAGGGAAACUAAGUAAAGCGGUGGUGCUAAAAACAGACCAAGACGUGCCUGAACAAUCCCCAGUCAAUGUAACCGGCUUCAACAAAAGUUCCACAGAACUCUACAUCGAAUGGCAGCCAUUAGAGAAAAUAUAUUGGAACGGCAUAGAGCUGGGCUACAAGAUCUUCUACGUUCCUCUUAUAUCGAACAGUGAACCCGAGAAGACAACAACAGUCGAUGCAAAUUCCAAUUUUACAACACUUGAUCAACUGGACAAGUUUACUUGGUACAAGGUUAGAGUCGCUGCCUUUACUAGCAAGGGCCUUGGACCAAGAUCCCUUGAAAUCACUUUACAGACAUCAGAAGAUGUGCCAAGCAAGGCCGUAAUAGUUCUCAAGGCACGACACACCAGCCAUAACAGCCUGUUGGUAGAAUGGAAAUCAAUCCCCAAAGAUUAUGUUCACGGGAUUCUACGAGGUUUUCGAAUAUAUUUCUGGGAAGUGAACAGAACACCCAAGAAAGUCCAGACAAAAGGAGUUCCACCAGAAGCAAGAAGUGCUGAGUUGACAGAUCUGUUGAUAUAUACCGAGUAUGCUAUGGAGAUUAUUGGGUUCACUUCUGCUGGAAAUGGGGCUGUCAGUAGGCCUGUGUAUGCUAGAACAGACCAAUACACACCUGGAGCAGCACCAGUUAACCUACGAGCUCCGAACAGAACAAGCCCCACCAUCAUCAAGGUCAAUUGGGAUCCAAUACGUAACCCAUACGAUGUCCAUGGCAUUCUUCUCGGAUACCGGGUAUUUUACACUGCAGUGGCUUUAUCAAAAAAACCGUUCGAUCAAGCAAUACCUUAUCUGAGCGUCACUUUGGAGAACCCGCCACGAACGUCCGUGGAGUUGCGCAACUUGAGCGCGUUCACCAGAUAUCAUAUAUAUGUACUGGCGUUCACUAUCAAAGGUGAUGGAGUCAAAAGUCCAAUCAUUGUCGCAGAAACGUGCAACUGUCACAGAACACUUCACACGAACUGGUGGGCAAGCUCUCCGUACGUCGAAACCCCAGGCUCACUAAAUAACUCUGGAAUCAUCCCUCCAGUCCUAGAAGACGCAGUAAGAACAUGCUGUGAAACAUGUGCCGAGUUUAAAACAACAGUCGUCGACUACACCUUGUCAAUCUCCCAGAAGCGCGCAAGAAAACAAGGCUUACAGGAAUUUCGAGAGAACAUUGAAGAUGCGGAGUUCAGCUUUCCUGUUUAUGGAUUCAUGGAUCAAAAAGUGUAUUCAGGAUCGUUUGGUUUUGUGCCGUUAGUUAGUUCACCAGGGAUUGCCUUGAUUGUUAUCGGAGACGAAGAGGGCGCUGCUGCUCGGAUGUUGAUCAAGUCCAUCAUGCUUUGCUGGCCAAUUAUCUUUCUUGAUAUCAUGCUGCUUUGGGUUCUCAGUAUCGUUAUUUGGUUUGUGGAAACAUUCAGCAACUCGCGUCAUUUUCCUCAUAACAUGCUGCAAGUUAUGGCGAUCGUAUACCUCGUACUUCAGUUGGUCGUAUCAUCUGUAUCGUGUGGAUCUUGAUUGGUGUCAUCCUAAUAGCUUGUUUUAAUUCAACCAUGACAUCAAUACUGACAGCUCGUAUACUGGAUAGGGAUAUCAUGCUAUAUGGAACAAAGAUUGCUGCAAUCCAGAACUCAUCAGAAUACCGACUGGGAGUAAGAAAGAAUGCUCGUGUCAACCCCAGUG